UACAGAGGGUGCAAGCGUUGUUCGGAAUUAUUGGGCGUAAAGGGCGCGUAGGCGGUGCGGUAAGUCUGUAGUGAAAUCUCUGGGCUCAACUCAGAGUCUGCUGCAGAAACUGCCGUGCUUGAGUGUGGGAGAGGUGAGUGGAAUUUCCGGUGUAGCGGUGAAAUGCGUAGAUAUCGGAAGGAACACCUGUGGCGAAAGCGGCUCACUGGACCAUUACUGACGCUGAGGCACGAAAGCUAGGGGAGCAAACAGG
rnacentral:rRNA from 1 species